GACCUGAUGGUGUAGUGGUUAACACGCUCGCUUUGAAUAGGUCAUUGCCAACAAGUGAGCGGGAGUCUCCGGUUCAAAUCCGGGUCAGGUAA